GGGUAACAUGCCCUAAGGUGGGGGAUAAUCUCGGGAAACUGAGGAUAAUACCCCAUAGGUCUGAUAUGCUGGAAUGCUUUCAGGCCGAAAACUCCGGUGCCUUAGGAUUGGCCUGCGGUCUAUCAGGCUGUAGUGGGUGUAAUGGACCCACUAGCCCGUGACGGAUAUGGGCCUUGAGAGAGGGAGCCCAGAGAUGGACUCUGAGACAUGAGUCCAGGCCCUACGGGGCGCAGCAGUCGCGAAAACUUCGCAAUGGGGGCAACCCCGACGAGGGAAUUCCAAGUGCCAGCACUUUGUGUUGGCUGUUCUCCUGUCUAAAAAACAGGAGGAGUAAGGGGCGGGUAAGACGGGUGCCAGCCGCCGCGGUAAUACCCGCGCCCCUGGUGGUGGUCGAUAUUAUUGAGCCUAAAACGUCCGUAGCCGGUCUUCUAAAUCCUUGGGUAAAUCGGGCAGCUUAACUGUCCGAAGUCCGGGGAGACUGGGAGACUUGGGACCGGGAGAGGUCAGAGGUACUUCUGGGGUAGGGGUAAAAUCCUGUAAUCCUGGAAGGACCACCGGUGGCGAAGGCGUCUGACUAGAACGGAUCCGACGGUGAGGGACGAAGCCCUGGGGCGCAAACGGGAUUAGAUACCCCGGUAGUCCAGGGUGUAAACGCUGCGGGCUUGGUGUUGGGGGUCCUUAGUGGGCGCCCAGUGCCGGAGAGAAGUUGUUAAGCCUGCUGCUUGGGGAGUAUGUCCGCAAGGAUGAAACUUAA
rnacentral:rRNA from 1 species